UACGUAGGGGGCAAGCGUUGUCCGGAAUCAUUGGGCGUAAAGAGCGUGUAGGCGGUCCGGUAAGUCGGCUGUGAAAGUCCAGGGCUCAACCCUGGGAUGCCGGUCGAUACUGCCGGACUAGAGUUCGGAAGAGGCGAGUGGAAUUCCCGGUGUAGCGGUGAAAUGCGCAGAUAUCGGGAGGAACACCUAUGGCGAAGGCAGCUCGCUGGGA
rnacentral:rRNA from 1 species